rnacentral:tRNA from 1 species
GAGGAUUUAGUUAAUUUAUAAUAAUAUCUUGUCAAGAUAAAGUAAUGGGUUUAAACCCUAUAACCCUCU